rnacentral:rRNA from 1 species
UGGGGAAUUUUGGACAAUGGGCGAAAGCCUGAUCCAGCCAUGCCGCGUGCGGGAAGAAGGCCUUCGGGUUGUAAACCGCUUUUGUCAGGGAAGGAAUGUUCCGGGCUAAUACCCCGGGAAGAUGACGGUACCUGAAGAAUAAGCACCGGCUAACUACGUG